ACAAAAUCUGAGAUUGUGCUGUUUAUAAGUGUGUGUUGAUCUAGACUAAAAACACUUGAGAGCUAACACAUCAGAAGAUUAGAUUAGAAAGGGCUGACACUGAUUUCUGAAUGUACACACAUUUGUUUUAGGACCUAAUAAUCAUUAACUCUACAUUUUACAGCAGUAUCCUGCAGGAUUUUCACACUGCAGGAGACCCGCUUUUUUAAAACUGUUACCACUCCGGGAUCAUGAUUGUUUACCAAAGCGCAGGCAGAGACAACGACACACAUAUUGACCAAUCAUGUGUGGAUGGAAGAGAAACAAAAGUGUGUGAAAGAGAGUGAGAAGCGAGAAAAAAAUAGCUCCGUUCACUUCUAAGAGCCGUUUCGUUCUCCACCGACCCAUCACUAUUAAACAGGGAUAAACCGGUUUGGUGGAAAAGGCUGAACUUCUGCACAGAUCCCCCUGAUGUAGACUGAUGACAUCAGGAAGGUUUAAGAGCCACGCAUCUCAUCAAUCCUGCAGUGUUUGGAAGUGGUGGGCCACUGGCCGACAUCAGCUAAUGGGACAGAAGUAAACACAGAAAGCCACGCUUCUCUGAGCAACAACAGGCUUUAUUUUAGGAGAUCUUAGAAUCUGAUGGGCUCAAAAACAGGACGGAACCCACCUUCGCCUGAGGUCUUCAGCAAUGGUUGCCCUGCAGCUGAACAAGUAGGCCCUCAGCGACUGGAGCUGCUGACGGAGGCGCAGCACUGUGCUCAACGC